rnacentral:rRNA from 1 species
UACAGAGACUGCAAGCGUUAUUCGGAUUCACUGGGCGUAAAGGGUGCGCAGGCGGCCAAGUGUGUCAGGUGUGAAAUCCCGGGGCUUAACUCCGGAACUGCGCCUGAAACUACUUGGCUGAGAGCAUUGGAGAGGGAAGUGGAAUUCACGGUGUAGCAGUAGAAAUGCGUAGAUAUCGUGAGGAACACCAGAGGCGAAGGCGACUUCCUGGACAAUUGCU